rnacentral:rRNA from 1 species
UGCAGUCGAGCGGGGGAAGGUAGCUUGCUACUGGACCUAGCGGCGGACGGGUGAGUAAUGCUUAGGAAUCUGCCUAUUAGUGGGGGACAACAUCUCGAAAGGGAUGCUAAUACCGCAUACGUCCUACGGGAGAAAGCAGGGGAUCUUCGGACCUUGCGCUAAUAGAUGAACCUAAGUCGGAUUAACUAGUUGGUGGGGUAAAGGCCUACCAAGGCGACGAUCUGUAGCGGGUCUGAGAGGAUGAUCCGCCACACUGGGACUGAGACACGGCCCAGACUCCUACGGGAGGCAGCAGUGGGGAAUAUUGGACAAUGGGGGGAACCCUGAUCCAGCCAUGCCGCGUGUGUGAAGAAGGCCUUAUGGUUGUAAAGCACUUUAAGCGAGGAGGAGGCUACUCUAGUUAAUACCUAGAGAUAGUGGACGUUACUCGCAGAAUAAGCACCGGCUAACUCUGUGCCAGCAGCCGCGGUAAUACAGAGGGUGCGAGCGUUAAUCGGAUUUACUGGGCGUAAAGCGUGCGUAGGCGGCUUAUUAAGUCGGAUGUGAAAUCCCCGAGCUUAACUUGGGAAUUGCAUUCGAUACUGGUGAGCUAUAGUAUGGGAGAGGAUGGUAGAAUUCUAGGUGUAGCGGUGAAAUGCGUAGAGAUCUGGAGGAAUACCGAUGGCGAAGGCAGCCCAUCCUGGGCCUAAUACUGACGCUGACGGUACGAAAGCAUGG